AGAGUUUGAUCCUGGCUCAGGACGAACGCUGGCGGCGUGCCUAACACAUGCAAGUGGAGCGACGAACCGGACUUCGGUCCGGGGCCAAGCCGCGAACGGGUGAGUAACACGUGGGUAACCUGCCCUGAUGAUUGGGACAACCCGAGGAAACUCGGGCUAAUACCAAAUGUGCCCCUCGGUCUCAAGACCGUUGUGGGAAAGGAAGCUUCGGCCUCCGCAUCGGGAUGGGCCCGCGGCCCAUUAGCUUGUUGGUGAGGUAACGGCUCACCAAGGCGACGACGGGUAGCCGGCCUGAGAGGGCGACCGGCCACACUGGGACUGAGACACGGCCCAGACUCCUACGGGAGGCAGCAGUGGGGAAUAUUGCGCAAUGGGCGGAAGCCUGACGCAGCGACGCCGCGUGCGGGAUGAAGGCCUUCGGGUUGUAAACCGCUUUCAGCAGGGACGAAGCGUGAGUGACGGUACCUGCAGAAGAAGC
rnacentral:rRNA from 1 species